AAUGCUUAGGAAUCUGCCUAUUAGUGGGGGACAACAUUCCGAAAGGAAUGCUAAUACCGCAUACGCCCUACGGGGGAAAGCAGGGGAUCUUCGGACCUUGCGCUAAUAGAUGAGCCUAAGUCAGAUUAGCUAGUUGGUGGGGUAAAGGCCUACCAAGGCGACGAUCUGUAGCGGGUCUGAGAGGAUGAUCCGCCACACUGGGACUGAGACACGGCCCAGACUCCUACGGGAGGCAGCAGUGGGGAAUAUUGGACAAUGGGCGAAAGCCUGAUCCAGCCAUGCCGUGUGUGUGAAGAAGGCCUUUUGGUUGUAAAGCACUUUAAGCGAGGAGGAGGCUACUGAGAUUAAUACUCUUGGAUAGUGGACGUUACUCGCAGAAUAAGCACCGGCUAACUCUGUGCCAGCAGCCGCGGUAAUACAGAGGGUGCGAGCGUUAAUCGGAUUUACUGGGCGUAAAGCGUGCGUAGGCGGCUUUUUAAGUCGGAUGUGAAAUCCCUGAGCUUAACUUAGGAAUUGCAUUCGAUACUGGGAAGCUAGAGUAUGGGAGAGGAUGGUAGAAUUCCAGGUGUAGCGGUGAAAUGCGUAGAGAUCUGGAGG
rnacentral:rRNA from 1 species